AGAGUUUGAUCCUGGCUCAGGAUGAACGCUAGCGGCAGGCUUAACACAUGCAAGUCGCGGGGCAGCGGGGGAUGAGCUUGCUCAUCCCGCCGGCGACCGGCGCACGGGUGAGUAACACGUAUGCAACCUGCCCCUGUCAGGGGGACAACCCACCGAAAGGUGGGCUAAACCCGCGUACAUCCGGAGGGGGCAUCCCCUUGGGAGGAAAGGAGCGAUCCGGACAGGGAUGGGCAUGCGGCGCAUUAGCUAGACGGCGGGGUAACGGCCCACCGUGGCGACGAUGCGUAGGGGUUCUGAGAGGAAGGCCCCCCACACUGGUACUGAGACACGGACCAGACUCCUACGGGAGGCAGCAGUGAGGAAUAUUGGUCAAUGGUCGGGAGACUGAACCAGCCAAGCCGCGUGAGGGAAGAAGGUACAGCGUAUCGUAAACCUCUUUUGCCGGGGAACAAGAGCUUCCACGAGUGGGAGUGUGAGCGUACCCGGAGAAAAAGCAUCGGCUAACUCCGUGCCAGCAGCCGCGGUAAUACGGAGGAUGCGAGCGUUAUCCGGAUUUAUUGGGUUUAAAGGGUGCGUAGGCGGCGAGUUAAGUCAGCGGUAAAAGCCCGGGGCUCAACCCCGGCCCGCCGUUGAAACUGGCUGGCUUGAGUUGGGGAAAGGCAGGCGGAAUGCGCGGUGUAGCGGUGAAAUGCAUAGAUAUCGCGCAGAACCCCGAUUGCGAAGGCAGCCUGCCGGCCCCACACUGACGCUGAGGCACGAAAGCGUGGGUAUCGAACAGGAUUAGAUACCCUGGUAGUCCACGCAGUAAACGAUGAAUGCUUGCUGUCCGGGGGGAUUUGCCCCUGGGGGGGCGCAGCGAAAGCGAUAAGCAUUCCACCUGGGGAGUACGCCGGCAACGGUGAAACUCAAAGGAAUUGACGGGGGCCCGCACAAGCGGAGGAACAUGUGGUUUAAUUCGAUGAUACGCGAGGAACCUUACCCGGGCUCAAACGGGAGACGCCGCAGGCAGAGACGCCUGUUUCCUUAGGGACGUCUUCCGAGGUGCUGCAUGGUUGUCGUCAGCUCGUGCCGUGAGGUGUCGGCUUAAGUGCCAUAACGAGCGCAACCCCCGCGGGCAGUUGCUAACAGGUUAAGCUGAGGACUCUGCCCGGACUGCCGGCGCAAGCCGCGAGGAAGGCGGGGAUGACGUCAAAUCAGCACGGCCCUUACGUCCGGGGCGACACACGUGUUACAAUGGGCGGUACAGCGGGAAGCCAGGCGGCGACGCCGAGCGGAACCCGAAAGCCGUUCUCAGUUCGGAUCGGAGUCUGCAACCCGACUCCGUGAAGCUGGAUUCGCUAGUAAUCGCGCAUCAGCCAUGGCGCGGUGAAUACGUUCCCGGGCCUUGUACACACCGCCCGUCAAGCCAUGGGAGCCGGGGGUGCUUGAAGUGCGUCGCCGCGAGGCGCGCCCUAGAGCAAAACCGGUGACUGGGGCUAAGUCGUAACAAGGUAACC
rnacentral:rRNA from 1 species